rnacentral:rRNA from 1 species
UACGUAGGGUGCAAGCGUUACUCGGAAUUACUGGGCGUAAAGCGUGCGCAGGCGGUUUUGUAAGUCUGUCGUGAAAUCCCCGGGCUCAACCUGGGAAUUGCGAUGGAGACUGCAAGGCUAGAAUCUGGCAGAGGGGGGUAGAAUUCCACGUGUAGCAGUGAAAUGCGUAGAGAUGUGGAGGAAUACCGAUGGCGAAGGCAGCCCCCUGGGAUAACACUGACGCUCAUGCACGAAAGCGUGGGGAGCAAACAGG